rnacentral:rRNA from 1 species
AGAGUGAACGCUGGCGGCAGGCCUAACACAUGCAAGUCGAACGGCAGCACAGGGGAGCUUGCUCCCUGGGUGGCGAGUGGCGGACGGGUGAGGAAUACAUCGGAAUCUACCCAGUCGUGGGGGAUAACCUCGGGAAACCGGGACUAAUACCGCAUACGACCCACGGGUGAAAGCGGAUGACCGCAAGGCUUCGCGCGAUUGGAUGAGCCGAUGUCGGAUUAGCUUGUUGGCGGGGUAACGGCCCACCAAGGCGACGAUCCGUAGCUGGUCUGAGAGGAUGAUC